rnacentral:rRNA from 1 species
UACGGAGGAUCCGAGCGUUAUCCGGAUUUAUUGGGUUUAAAGGGUGCGCAGGCGGGAGAUUAAGUCGGCGGUGAAAUUCUGCAGCUCAACUGUAAAAGUGCCUUCGAAACUGGUUUCCUUGAGUGUGGAUGAAGUAGGCGGAAUUUGUGGUGUAGCGGUGAAAUGCAUAGAUAUCACGAGGAACUCCGAUUGCGCAGGCAGCUUACUAAACUACUACUGACGCCCAGGCACGAAGGCGUGGGGAUCAAACAGGAUUAGAUACCCUGGUA